UUUUUUGGAAAUGGAUUUUAUUUUAUCUUUUCACUGCAUUUCAGGAUGAAAAACAAAACCUUCACAGAUUUUGUACAUGCAAAAAUAUAUUUAAUUAACGAGUAAAUUGACAAUAAGUAUGAAUUAAUCAUGAAUUCUAUACCAGUUCAUUUGGCCUCUAAAAUAUUUAUUUUACUGCAUUGCUGUGAUCAAGAAAUUAUUCAAUUAAAUAAUUUCAAUGCGCAGAAAAAUCCAUGUUUG
rnacentral:lncRNA from 1 species